UUCCAAUGGAGUUUCCCAUCUCUUCAAAAGUAUAUUUGGUUUAUCCAAAUUAUGUUCGUUUCCGGGUGCACUUUCUAUCGCAAUCCGGUUUCUUGCGGUUCGGAAUAAGGACCGGGGGCGGUUCUACAAGAAAGCCCCAAAACCCGAACUCCAACAGGUUUUUCAAGCGAAUUUUUAGGUGGUCUUCACUCCGAUUACAUAUGCCACGGGCCCCAGUGUGGGUGCAUUGCACCGCGCUCAACGGUGGCGCGAUUCUGACUGAGUUAGCAUGCUAGCCAGCAAAAUGUAUUUAUACUCCACCCCUCUCCAACCGGCUGUAGCGAUUAGUCAAUAUCCCAUAGUUAAGGGUGAGCUGUAAAACCCAACUUCUCUAUUGGACUUUUCCGUUCAAUUCCUCCCCAUCCACCCUGCUGGAAGAUUGUUGCAUUGGGACGGCCAUAACAAGAAGAGUGUAUUCUGGUAGGAACCCAGUUUCGGAUUCGGGAUUUAAGGCCCACAAGGGGGUUGGGGGUUUAAACCACAAUAAUAUGAUCCCUAAACCCCCCAUGCCUGGCAUUUCGACGUCUUAACACAAGCAGUAUCUGACGGCCCCUCGUCUCCCCUCAUCAACCUCCGUGCGCAGCGCACUGUGGUCAUCUCUCGCGGGGGAAAAUAUCAGAUAACAGGAACCCCCUUACUCGGACAAAGCGAGGCUCCAACAAGAGGACGGUGAUCUGUGUUCCCUUUCCAAGUAGCAAACGAGCUCUGUGGCAAUCGAAUCCUCAAAACAGACCGGGCUCCGGUGCUCGCCAUGCCCGGCCCGGCGGCCGGCAGUAAAUCUCGGGUGUACGCCGAUGUCAAUACUUUGAAGAGCAGGGAAUAUUGGGACUACGAAACCCACGUGCCUAACUGGAGUAACCAGGAAGACUACCAGUUGGUGCGGAAGCUUGGCAGAGGGAAGUACAGUGAGGUCUUUGAGGCCAUCAACAACAAUGAGAAGGUGGUUGUCAAGAUCCUCAAGCCUGUCAAGAAGAAGAAAAUCAAGCGUGAAAUCAAGAUCCUGGAGAAUUUGCGAGGUGGAGCCAACAUUAUUCGAUUGGUGGACACAGUGAAAGACCCUGUGAUUUUUUCCUCUAUUUGUCCUCUCUCUCAAACCUCUCUACAGUCCCGAACGCCUGCGCUUGUCUUUGAAUGCAUCAAUAACACAGAUUUUAAGGAGCUCUACCAGAAGUUAACAGAUUUUGAUAUCCGUUUUUACAUGUAUGAACUACUUAAGGCUCUGGACUACUGCCACAGUAUGGGGAUAAUGCACCGUGAUGUCAAGCCCCACAAUGUGAUGAUUGACCACCAGAUGAGGAAGCUACGUCUAAUAGACUGGGGCCUUGCAGAGUUCUACCAUCCUGCACAGGAAUACAACGUCAGAGUAGCGUCUCGCUACUUUAAGGGACCUGAGUUACUGGUGGAUUACCAGAUGUACGACUACAGUUUGGACAUGUGGAGUCUUGGCUGCAUGCUGGCCAGUAUGAUCUUUCAGAAAGAGCCCUUCUUCCAUGGCCAGGACAAUUAUGACCAGCUGGUCCGAAUUGCCAAAGUCCUGGGGACAGAUGAACUUUUUGGUUACCUGCGCAAAUACCACAUUGAACUGGACCCACGCUUCAAGGACCUUCUUGGCCAACAGACGCGGAAACGCUGGGAGCAAUUUGUCCAGACCGAGAACCAGCACCUGGUUAGCCCUGAGGCUCUGGACCUGCUGGAUAAGCUGCUGCGCUACGACCAUCAGCAGAGACUGACGGCCACAGAGGCCAUGGAGCAUCCCUACUUCUAUCCUGUGCUGAAGGAACAGUCUCUCUCUAAUGCGGAUGGCAAUAUGGUGUCCAGUGGAUCCACUACGGCUCGAUGAAAGCAGAUCGUAUGAGUCACUUCGCCAUUGUAGUGGUUGGGAUUCGGUUCAAUCACGAAGAACAUUUGUUACCUCGACUUUUUAGCCCUUUGUGGCAGAAACUUCUUCAAGUGUACAGUGAAAAUGGAUCAGAGCGACACCAGACACACACCCCCCUUCUCUUUGUCAGUCUGAGGUUGACUUGCCCCAGUUACAUGUCAAGCAGCCAGACCAAUGAGCUUGGUGUCUCACUGCUGCCCCUGUCCUGCUCUGCCCCCUCCUCUUAUCACGAGGUAAACAGAAAAUGUUCAAAGACAAGAAAAAAAGGAUCCUUCCCUGUCAUUAUCCCCCCCCUCUUUGGCCCCCCUCCCUCGUUUAACUAAGCAUGGAGAAUGAAAAGGAACGUGAGCCUGCCCCCCCCCCCCCCUCCUUGGUCAGGCUGUCUGUUCAGUGUUCAGCCACUUGGCAGGCCUAUGCUCAGCCUCUACACACUGUAGUACCAAAGUGUUAUGGUGGACCUUUUCUCUGCUCUAGGUAGAAUGAUA